rnacentral:lncRNA from 1 species
CCCAGACAAGACAAGGCUGGAGGAUUGGCUGUUGUAAUAAAUGGGUGCCGUCUUUAGGCCCUGAAUCCUGGGACUACAGUAAUUGCUUUUUCCAGCUGUUAACACAGCUUCAGGAAAAUGACGGUCAAAUGACACUGAAAGAGACAGAAUUGUCUGCUAGAGAGCUGGAUCAAAGGACAUGAAGUAAGUUGCCUUCUCAUGGAUUCUGAGAGUAAUUAAUUCCCCUCAUCAUCCGGACA